rnacentral:rRNA from 1 species
CUACGGGGCGCUGCAGUGAGGAAUUUUGCGCAAUGGGGGAAACCCUGACGCAGCAACGCCGCGUGAGUGAUGAAGGCCUUCGGGUCGUAAAGCUCUGUCAAGUGGGAAGAACCUAUCCAAGGGUAAUAUUCUUGGGUACUGACGGUACCACUGAAGGAAGCACCGGCUAGCUCCGUGCCAGCAGCCGCGGUAAUACGGGGGGUGCAAGCGUUAUUCGGAAUUAUUGGGCGUAAAGGGCGCGUAGGCGGUUUUGUUAGUCAGAUGUGAAAGCCCGGGGCUCAACCCCGGAAGUGCAUUUGAUACUGCAAGACUUGAGUAUGGGAGAGGGAAGUGGAAUUCCUGGUGUAGAGGUGAAAUUCGUAGAUAUCAGGAGGAACAUCUGUGGCGAAGGCGACUUCCUGGACCAAUACUGACGCUAAGGCGCGAAGGCGUGGGUAGCAAACAGGAUUAGAUACCCGCGUAGUC